GCUCCGGUAGCCUACUGGUUAGAGCGUCAGUCUUGAAUAUGGGAGGUGACGGGUUCGAACCCUGGCCGAGUCA